CCCUUAGAUGUUCUGGGCUGCACGCGCGCUACACUGAAGCGUUCAACGAGUAUUCACCUUGCCCGGGAGGGUUGGGUAAUCUUUUGAAAACGCUUCGUGAUGGGGAUAGAUUAUUGCAAUUAUUAAUCUUCAACGAGGAAUUCCUAGUAAGCGCGAGUCAUCAGCUCGUGCUGAUUACGUCCCUGCCCUUUGUACACACCGCCCGUCGCUCCUACAGAUUGAGUGAUCCGGUGAAUAAUUCGGACUGCAGCACUGCUUGGUCUCCAGGCUUUGCAGCGGAAAGUUUAGUGAACCUUAUCACUUAGAGGAAGGAGAAGUCGUAACA
rnacentral:rRNA from 1 species